UGGGGCCGUGGCUGUAGGUGCUCCAGAUCGGACCUGCUGCCCUUGCUGUAUUAUUACUUUGUUGCUUUGGCGAGCUGCCUUCGGGCCUUGUAUGCUCGCCAGAGAAUACCAAAACUCUUUUUAUUAAUGUCGUCUGAGUACUAUAUAAUAGUUAAAACUUUCAACAACGGAUCUCUUGGUUCUGGCAUCGAUGAAGAACGCAGCGAAAUGCGAUAAGUAAUGUGAAUUGCAGAAUUCAGUGAAUCAUCGAAUCUUUGAACGCACAUUGCGCCCCUUGGUAUUCCGGGGGGCAUGCCUGUUCGAGCGUCAUUUCAACCCUCAAGCUUAGCUUGGUAUUGAGUCUAUGUCAGUAAUGGCAGGCUCUAAAAUCAGUGGCGGCGCCGCUGGGUCCUGAACGUAGUAAUAUCUCUCGUUACAGGUUCUCGGUGUGCUUCUGCCAAAACCCAAAUUUUUCUAUGGUUGACCUCGGAUCAGGUAGGGAUACCCGCUGAACUUAAGCAUAUCAAUAAGCGGAGGAA
rnacentral:sRNA from 1 species